UACGUAGGGCGCAAGCGUUGUCCGGAAUCAUUGGGCGUAAAGAGCUCGUAGGUGGUCUGUUACGUCUGCUGUGAAAUCCUAGGGCUUAACCCUGGGCCUGCAGUGGAUACGGGCAGACUAGAGGUAGGUAGGGGAGAAUGGAAUUCCCGGUGUAGCGGUGAAAUGCGCAGAUAUCGGGAGGAACACCGGUGGCGAAGGCGGGAUCCUGGGCCAGUACUGACGCUGAGGAGCGAAAGCGUGGGGAGCAAACAGG
rnacentral:rRNA from 1 species